GUGACAGCCGCCGCGGUAUACGAAGGGGGCUAGCGUUGUUCGGAAUCACUGGGCGUAAAGCGCACGUAGGCGGACUUCUAAGUCAGGGGUGAAAUCCCAGGGCUCAACCCUGGAACUGCCCUUGAUACUGGAAGUCUCGAGUCCGGGGGAGGUGAGUGGAACUCCGAGUGUAGAGGUGAAAUUCGUAGAUAUUCGGAAGAACACCAGUGGCGAAGGCGGCUCACUGGCCCGGUACUGACGCUGAGGUGCGAAAGCGUGGGGAGCAAACAGGAUUAGAAACCCGAGUAGUCC
rnacentral:rRNA from 1 species